rnacentral:lncRNA from 1 species
UUUCCCCAAAAUGAUACCUUUUCUACUUUUUAGUAUUGAUAUCCUUCAUUCCUUUUUUCUCCUCAUAUCCCCUUGAGAAUAUAUUUCCUAAUUUCAAACUAAGGAUUAGUUUUUAGAAAAUAAAUACCUUUAAUAGUUAAAAAACCCAGUCAUCCCAAAGAAACAAACCCAUCACAUAUCAUUAAUUUCUCAAAAGGUUAAAUUGUAAUAAUUGGUUAUUAGAGUAUGGAAAUUGGAGUUCUGGGAGAGGACUAUAUGUGAGACUCUCCUGGUUAUCAAGACAGGCCUUGGCUAAGAUUCACACAUUCAAGCACUGUUGAUCUCCAAGGAAGUGGGGGAGAAGGCAAUAACUAAUCAAAACUGAUGAGCUGAAAAACUAGGCAGAAGGGAGGAAUGUGGGUUCCUUGUGGGUAGACAGCCUUAUAAGUAGCCUAGCUGUCAGGAUAUAAAGCUUUAGGCCAGUAAAUAAAGUGGGAGAAGGUGAUCCUGGUUUCUUACUCUUAUGUAAGAUCUUUAAGGGAGGUCUAACAUGGUUCCAUAAUGGUGAUACUCCCACAGUACUUACCAGCAUGGGCAGAAGCAAAUCUUCUGUGGAGUCAAGACUUCCCCAGUAUUGGCCUGUAGAAUUCAUAUAUAUUAGCAAGCAAAGAACUACUAAAUAUCACUAUAUAUGUGAAGAGGCCAGACACUGAGAGUCAGACAAAACAACAAACAUUUUACUCCCAAGGAUUGCAGAUAAUGGAAUUCUUAGAGACAUAACAUAGUGUGCUUAAAUAAAGGCCACAAUAAAUUAACAGGAAUGAACAGCAGAUUAAAAGAUGAAUUCUAGCUGGGUGUAGUGGCACACACUUGUUUGUAAUCCUACUGGCUUGGGAAGCUGAGGCAAGAGGAUUAUGAGUUCAAAGCCAGCCUCAGCAAAAGCCAGGUGCUAAGCAACUCAGUGAGACCCUGUUUCUAAAUAAAAUACGAAAUAGGGCUGGGGAUGUGGUUCAGUGGUUGAGUGCCCCUGAGUUCAAUCCCCGGUACCCGCCCCCCUACCAAAAAAAAAA